rnacentral:rRNA from 1 species
UACGGGUGGUGCUAGUGUUAUUCCUCGUGACUAGGCGUAAAGGGUGCGUAGAUUGAGAAAAUAGUUUUAAAUUAACAUGAACUUGUUUUUUUACUUUUUUUCUAGAGUUUUUUAGACGAUAAUGGAACUUCCUGCAUUAGGGUUAAAAUACGUUUAAACUGGAAGGAACACCGAGGGCAAAGGCAAUUAUCGAUUUUAAACUGACGUUGAGGCACGAAGGGAUGGGGAUCAAAUGGG